AUUCUAACCCACCCAGAGUGAUCCUGAUAGUAACUGGCUAACUUCAGAGCUACUGGUCACUGGGUGAAGGUGACGACCUGAAACCACGCAGAUGCUUGCAUAUGCUGUCUCUCCAUCUCCACCUUGUCAGUCACGGUGUUCACACUCUGAGGUUUUCCAUGUGACUGAAAGUUACAGUCCUUUUUAAAAAUAACAUUUCUGGUUUCUUCUUAGUCCUCAACUAUUUAUUCCCUCAGGAGGAAGAGGGAGCAGAUGGAGUUGGAGACAUUGAGGGAAGACAAUUGAAGAAGGUGAAAUAUUACUUCAUUAUACUGUUUCUAAGCAGGAGGUUGGCAAACCACGAAGAGAUACUUGGAGGAAGCGUGAGCCUAAUACGCCACUCUAAGUGUACACAUGUAUACCUUCAGCACAUCCCACAUAUGUGUCCCUGUUUCUAUGGAUACUCUCAGAAGGAGACAUCAUCUGUGAAAGAAAAAGGGAAGACCCAGAGGAAUCUGGGAGGCCUUAUUCAAAAAGAAAUCCCAGAGUGGUUAUAUCCCAAUCAUGGCAAUACUCAGUCUUCCCAGGUGAGAUGAAAUUCUGCAAAAGGUACCCUCUGGAAAUCAGAAUCUUGAUCCUAUUGGUGAGAGUUCUUCAGUCAGUCCAAGUAUGUACACACAAUGAUAGCUAUAUCAUACUCUAACUUGACAUUGUGUAAAUAUGACAAAAAUAAUGUUCUAAAAAUGGCUGAACUAUCCAUCUUAAAGUAUAUAGACUUCAACAGAUAUAUUUAUAGAAAAUCAAAUUUGAAAGAUAGUGUAUCAUUACACAAAACUCCAAAUUUUUCAUAGUAAGAAAAAAAAAGACAAUAACCUUUAAUCAAUGAGACUAAGAAAAUAAUUGUGCACUCUGAAUCCUUAUCUCUGUAAUAUACACAUUUUAUUUCUUUCUAUAUAAGCUGGUCUGCAUUUGCCAUUUUGUGACUUGGGAUCAUCAAUACCAAGCCAUGAUAUUUUCUAAGGUGUUUACUAAAGGUAGAGUUUUAAGGUUUGAAUAAUCAGAUUUCCAUGAACACUUUUCUAAGAGACUCUGUUUAGCCUGAAUGCUUUAAUACUGCAUGCAGAUUUUCUAUACAUUCAUCUAUUUUCUCCAUGGCAAAGCUACCGAAACUGCCUUUGCAAGAAUUAUAACAGAGAAAAUUAUGACAGUGAAAGAUAUCUGAUCUAACCAACCCCCAUCUUGCCUUUAACCUCCAAACUGCCCUUAAUAAUUCCUGGGCCUGGGUCAAGCUAAUUUUGGAAGACAUUUAGUUUAUAGUUUAAAUGAAAAUAGCUCUUCCCAUAAACUAAACCGGCUUUGUAUAGUUAAUAAAAGACCAUCAGGUUAGGAGGAUGAAAGAAGUCUGAAUUCUGCUAAUGUGCAGACAUAAAAGAUUGCCAGAUACUAUUUCAGAGGUCCCAAGAUAUGCAGCUUUUCCAAUUACUCCUGCAGGUAACAUCACCAUUGUAGGAUGUAAGAUUGGCCUUUGAGAUGUCCUUUCGGGUUUUUGCAUUUUUGAUGCAUGAAUAGGUGGACAACCAAUGGCUUCACCUGUAUCCACCAGGGGGUUCUGUGGCCCCAUCGGGUAGCAGACUCCCUGUCCUGCCAAACUUUCCUUGAAAAAUCCUAGCCUCCAUAUUUUCAUGUAGAUUGAUUUGAGUAAUAACUGUCUCCCACAAGGCAUAACCAGCCUUGUGUCGAUUAAACUCUCUUUACUGCAAUGCCAUGGUCUCAAUGAACUGGUUUUGUCUGUGCAGUGGCCUGGACGAACCCAUCAGGCAGUUACAUUAUGAAUAUCUUAAGGAGAGGGCUUUUUCUCCUAACUUUGUAUCAUCAUUUUUGUCGUAGUCCCUGGCACAUAGGGC
ensembl:lncRNA